rnacentral:lncRNA from 1 species
UGGUUGCAUGUUUUUGAUGCAACUGAACCACUGUGACCAGCCAUGAACAAUCAAUACCGGUAGCAUGCCUGCAUAUGUAUAAUGGUGGAAGAUCAUUGGAUUUAAUAUUUAUGCGAAGUUUUGAAUUUAGGUCUCAUCUAAUCAAUCAUAAUACGACUGAUUUAAUUGGCAUGGACUAAAUCAAAUCGUCAAGCAACUAUAUUUGAGACUCAAUCUUCCAAAUUGAUCAGAUAAGUGGAGAUUGAUGGAGGUCUCUUCGUUGCUUUUCUUAAACACCAACAAAUUGGCC